rnacentral:rRNA from 1 species
UACGUAGGGACCGAGCGUUGUCCGGAAUCAUUGGGCGUAAAGAGCGUGUAGGCGGCCAUUUAAGUCCUGCGUGAAAUCCUGCGGCUCAACCGCAGGCGGUCGUGGGAAACUGGAUGGCUAGAGUGCGGGAGAGGGGAGUGGAAUUCCUGGUGUAGCGGUGGAGUGCGCAGAUAUCAGGAAGAACACCCGUGGCGAAGGCGGCUCUCUGGAACGCAACUGACGCUGAGACGCGAAAGCGUGGGGAGCAAACAGG